rnacentral:rRNA from 1 species
ACGGGGCCCGGCACAAGCGGUGGAGUAUGUGGUUUAAUUCGAUGCAACGCGAAGAACCUUACCUGGUCUUGACAUCCCGGAGACCCUUAGGAAACUAGGGGGUGGCUUCCAUCUGGAAGAAAUCUGGAGACAGGUGCUGCAUGGCUGUCGUCAGCUCGUGUCGUGAGAUGUUGGGUUAAGUCCCGCAACGAGCGCAACCCUUGCCUUUAGUUGCCAGCAGUUCGGCUGGGCACUCUAAAGGGACUGCCGGUGUUAAACCGGAGGAAGGUGGGGAUGACGUCAAGUCCUCAUGGCCUUUAUGACCAGGGCUACACACGUACUACAAUGGCCGAUACAAAGGGCAGCGACACUGCGAGGUGAAGCCAAUCCCGUAAAAUCGGUCUCAGUCCGGAUUGGAGUCUGCAACUCGACUCCAUGAAGUUGGAAUCGCUAGUAAUCGUGGAUCAGCAUGCCACGGUGAAUACGUUCCCGGGCCUU